CCUCCGGCGUUUUCGCUCGGUCCCGUGGAGUUAGUUGACCUGGUCUCUCCUCCAGUCCACCUCAACUCUCCUAAGUCUUUCUUAGAGAGGAAAGAAUGUUCCGGCUGCUGCAUCCUCACAAAUCCCCUCCCGCUACCCCUGGCUUUUGAUGGUAGUGGAGCCGCCCGUCGUCCGGAAAGUGGUGUAGGGUCUGAGUCGGCCAGCUAAGGCGAAUGGAUCUGGGACUGCAGAUUUGUCCCCAAGCCAGAGCAGGGGAAAGGAACGACUGUUUGCAUCUGGGUGUAAUUCUAGCCUCUUUGCACACCCAGCCCGACUGGUGGCCUGAGCCGCACUUGUCCCCCUGCCUUGACCACUAGCAACAGGCUGCGAGGCCGGGAGGCCCCAGAUGGUGUCAAAAGCAGGAUGGAAGUGGAGCUUCUAGCAACCUUCAGGAAUGCUGAGUGAACAUGCUAGGUACCUCCAGGACCCACUUGUGUUCAUGGAUCUCUCAGAGCCACUGGGGAUUGUGGGAUGUGUUUAUGAAGCCUAGAUGCUUUGAAGUCCCUGUAACAUCCCAAUCCUAGAAGAAUGGAAACUACUGAAGACAUAUGAAGUUGGCAGAAUCCACUUGAGCAACUCAAAAAAGGAAAUCAUGUGUUCUCAUUUUUCAUCACCCUCCUAUGAGAGUUCUUGACUCCACAUCAAAAUGGAGAACAGAGGUUCAGAAUGAUACUUACAAUGGCAAAAAGACACAAAGAGUUGAGAGCCAAGCUUGAAGAAAGGAAUGACCCUUAAUACAAAACAUAUUGGAGAAAGUCAUCUUCCACCGAAAGCAGUUAUUAAAGAUUUGGUCGUUUAAAGAAACCUUGUACCUUUGCCCUCUCGAAUAAAAAAAGUGUGUAUUUAUUUAAUUAUAAUCACUUUG